CCCUAAUUUUGGUUGGCGAUAGUUGCACAAGGAGACUUCAGUCCGGCGAUUUCCGUCCAGGUAAGGCCGUCUCCCCUCUCUUUCAACUUCGACGAGUCUGCCGGCAAUUGGCCGGUGGCGGCUGGGUGCUCGCGGUUUGCACUGUUCGGCCGUGGGAGCCUGCGCCUGGCCCAGGCCGGACAUGCGCGGUAGUGCCUGGCCCUGGCCGGCCGCGUGAAGCAGCGCCUGUCCAUGCUGGCCGCGGGAGGCGGCGGUUGGCCAUGGCCGGCCGCGGGAGUAGGUUUUAUGAUUGCACUUGCAAAGAUGCUAUUAGAUAGAGGCAAAAGCAUUUGUUUGAUCAUUGGCCAGAGCCAGGUGUGGAUGAUACAAGGAAAACGAAAUUUUUACAUCAGAUGAAUGUGGAAAAAAAUUGAAAGUGAAGUUUUUUUUCCAAAGAAGGGUAUUCAUAUUUUUCGAGAAGAUGCAAUAUUACCAGAAAGAUUCAAUCCAAGAAGGGUUUUUAUUUUUGUAUAGAUUUAACAUAGGAUUUAAAGUUUGUGGAUUAUGUGUACAUAUUUUUUAUUUGAAUUACAUGAUACAUUUCUAGUUUGGUCAAUUGUACUAUAUUUUUAUAGUAGUUUAAUUGAUCAAUUAUACUUUCAUGGUAUUUUAUUUGGUA